CUCUUAUCCAGAGAGGCGGAGGGACCGGCCCUGUGAUGCCUCGACAACCGGUUUUAGUUAGGUAGUUGGAUAGUUCGUUAGUUGGAUAGUUUCCUUGCUCAGGCAGGACAACUACAAAACUACAAAACUACGAAACUACAAAACUACACAACUAAACCACGGUGCCAAUUCCGGCAGAUGGACGUUCUGGAAGAUGAGAG
rnacentral:ncRNA from 2 species